rnacentral:rRNA from 1 species
AUGCAAGACUGGGAAUAUACCAUUUCACAGAAUAGCAUUUACCUGAGCUCCUGGAGGCUUGCGCUCCGGCGCGACGGAGUUGAGCCCGUCGCCACAGCUGUGUCCGGGAAGUGGAGUCUGGUGCACUCACGCAACGGCGUCAAGGAUGCCAUCCACUACAAUGGCAGGUUCUACUCGAUCACAUACUUCGGCGAAGUGGAGGCAUGGGAGGAGUGCGGCGCCGAUGACCCAGGUGUGUUCGCAAGUGUGGUGAUCGCGCCGAGGCUGCUGCUGCCAGCCGACACCGAGCACCGCAAGUACCUAAUGGCGGCGCCGGGCGGGCCGCUGAUGGUCGUGCUCAAGGAGGGCCGGCGGACGUCUCCAUCCUUCAAGGUGCAGGUCCUCGGUGCCGGCGGCAAGGAGUGGAAGGUGACGGACGACAUCGGCGAAACAGCGCUGUUCGUUGGGGGGAACGGUUCCUUCUGCGUGUCCACGACGGAGCACCCGGAGCUCAGGGCCGGCUGCGCCUACUACACCGAGGACGAUCCGGGGCCAUACAAGGAUGCUCGCGACCGCUACUACAAUGGCAUUAAUUGGGGUAUUCAGCCUCAAGGAUGGCAGCCGGGAGAAGGUCGAGGGCCUUGCGCUGGUCGCCACCAGUGUGGUUCAUGCCCUCCGUCCCAUUGUGAUGGAUACUGUGACUGA